GUUCCGUAGGUGAACCUGCGGAAGGAUCAUUAUUGUAUAACCGAGGUGCGAGGGCUGUCGCUGACCCGAAAGGUCGUGCACGCCCGAGUGCCCUCACACACAUCCAUCUCACCCCUAUGUGCACCACCGCGUGGGACCCCCUUUGGCUUGUUCGGAGGGGGGCUUACGUUUUCACACAAACUUUGUAUGCAGUGUAGAAUGUAUUUUUUGUUUUUGCGAUCACGCAAUCAAUACAACUUUCAACAACGGAUCUCUUGGCUCUC
rnacentral:misc_RNA from 1 species